UACAGAGGGGGCAAGCGUUGUUCGGAAUUACUGGGCGUAAAGGGCGCGUAGGCGGCCCUCUAAGUCGAACGUGAAAUCCCCGAGCUCAACUCGGGAACUGCGUCCGAUACUGGCGGGCUUGAAUUCGGGAGAGGGAUGCGGAAUUCCAGGUGUAGCGGUGAAAUGCGUAGAUAUCUGGAGGAACACCGGUGGCGAAGGCGGCAUCCUGGACCGGCAUUGACGCUGAGGCGCGAAAGCCAGGGGAGCAAACGGG
rnacentral:rRNA from 1 species